CCCUUCUCUUCAAGCACCCUGCUAAAACUGCAGGAGCCAGGGCUAAGGCAUGGUUCAUGUGGCCAUGUAAGCAUGGGUACACCAGGGAAGGAGAAAGCCAAACGCACAGCAUCCUAAAUGAGGCUAGGAGGGACCUCUUUCUUAAUGUCUUGUGUCCUAUGUCUCCAGAUUCUGUGUUACAACU
ensembl:snoRNA Small nucleolar RNA SNORA81